GCGGUUGCCUGUUCGGCGACGAAGCCAAGUCAAGACGCAGUUCAGUCAGUUGAAAGCUGGUUGAUGUGAAACGCGGGAGUGGACGCGGCUGUUGGACUGCUUUAUUACGACGCAAAGGCAGAGGUUUCGUCUUUCGUGAAAGCGUUUCUGGGUGCGGUCCUUACUGGAACAAGUGACGGCUGGCGUUAAUAAGCAUGCGGUGAGGGAAACAGAAGGCUCCGAGAAGUAAACGCUUUCGAGGUAGAUAGUGUCAUCCAGUCAUACCUCCGGCACGCAAACUGAGUGUAAUUGAAAGUUGGACGUAGUAAAUAAAAUUUGCCAGAGCACUACACACUGACUCGAUUCGGCUGGCACUUUUUUAUUACACUCAUCAUUUGUCCUCAUGUGUGUGCAAGUCUGCGUGGCGAUCGAGAAAUGCAGCGAAAUGUACGAAACGCCUGGGACUUGUGCACCGAGCACUGUCUGGUGGUGCGGACACAUCAAAUAACGGUAGGUACAUUAAGGGCCAUUAACAUCCACGUGACACA